rnacentral:rRNA from 1 species
AUGAACGCUAGCUACAGGCUUAACACAUGCAAGUCGAGGGGCAGCAUUUUAGUUUGCUUGCAAACUGAAGAUGGCGACCGGCGCACGGGUGAGUAACACGUAUCCAACCUGCCGAUAACUCCGGGAUAGCCUUUCGAAAGAAAGAUUAAUACCGGAUAGCAUACGAAUAUCGCAUGAUAUUUUUAUUAAAGAAUUUCGGUUAUCGAUGGGGAUGCGUUCCAUUAGUUUGUUGGCGGGGUAACGGCCCACCAAGACUACGAUGGAUAGGGGUUCUGAGAGGAAGGUCCCCCACAUUGGAACUGAGACACGGUCCAAACUCCUACGGGAGGCAGCAGUGAGGAAUAUUGGUCAAUGGGCGCGAGCCUGAACCAGCCAAGUAGCGUGAAGGAUGAAGGCUCUAUGGGUCGUAAACUUCUUUUAUAUGGGAAUAAAGUUUUCCACGUGUGGAAUUUUGUAUGUACCAUAUGAAUAAGGAUCGGCUAACUCCGUGCCAGCAGCCGCGGUAAUACGGAGGAUCCGAGCGUUAUCCGGAUUUAUUGGGUUUAAAGGGAGCGUAGGUGGAUUGUUAAGUCAGUUGUGAAAGUUUGCGGCUCAACCGUAAAAUUGCAGUUGAAACUGGCAGUCUUGAGUACAGUAGAGGUGGGCGGAAUUCGUGGUGUAGCGGUGAAAUGCUUAGAUAUCACGAAGAACUCCGAUUGCGAAGGCAGCUCACUAGACUGUCACUGACACUGAUGCUCGAAAGUGUGGGUAUCAAACAGGAUUAGAUACCCUGGUAGUCCACACAGUAAACGAUGAAUACUCGCUGUUUGCGAUGUACAGUAAGCGGCCAAGCGAAAGCAUUAAGUAUUCUACCUGGGGAGUACGCCGGCAACGGUGAAACUCAAAGGAAUUGACGGGGGCCCGCACAAGCGGAGGAACAUGUGGUUUAAUUCGAUGAUACGCGAGGAACCUUACCCGGGCUUAAAUUGCAACAGAAUAUAUUGGAAACAGUAUAGCCGUAAGGCUGUUGUGAAGGUGCUGCAUGGUUGUCGUCAGCUCGUGCCGUGAGGUGUCGGCUUAAGUGCCAUAACGAGCGCAACCCUUAUCUUUAGUUACUAACAGGUCAUGCUGAGGACUCUAGAGAGACUGCCGUCGUAAGAUGUGAGGAAGGUGGGGAUGACGUCAAAUCAGCACGGCCCUUACGUCCGGGGCUACACACGUGUUACAAUGGGGGGUACAGAAGGCGGCUACCUGGUGACAGGAUGCUAAUCCCAAAAACCUCUCUCAGUUCGGAUCGAAGUCUGCAACCCGACUUCGUGAAGCUGGAUUCGCUAGUAAUCGCGCAUCAGCCAUGGCGCGGUGAAUACGUUCCCGGGCCUUGUACACACCGCCCGUCAAGCCAUGAAAGCCGGGGGUACCUGAAGUACGUAACCGCAAGGAGCGUCCUAGGGUAAAACUGGUAAUUGGGGCU